GGGCAUUUGGUCUAGUGGUAUGAUUCUCGCUUUGGAGUGCGAGAGGUCAGGGAUUCGAUUCUCGGAAUGCCCC
rnacentral:tRNA from 1 species